rnacentral:lncRNA from 1 species
AAAAGUGCGGGGACUGAAAAGAAAAUUAUUCCCAUCACCGUUUCGCACAAGGAUCUGAUCGAAUACCGAGCGAAAUUCUGGGGCCAAAUUUAAAAAAUUUAAAAAAAUGGGAGGGAGUAAAUUAAAAAAACGAAUAAACGCGGGAGGGCCAAGGUACCGCCGUCUGCGGUGGCCGAAAAACGAAAAAGUCAUCAUUUUUCUAAUUUUUCCGUCCCCGAGCCCACGGAAUGCCGAUUUUCAUCGGAAUCAGC